rnacentral:rRNA from 2 species
AAACAAGUAUUUAAAUGCACAUGAUGGAUGCUUUGGCAAUUAUAGGCGAUGAAGGACGUGGAAACUUACGAUAAGCUGCGAGUAACUGUUUCAAGUUUUUAUACGCAGAUUUCCGAAUGGGUAAACCUGAUAAAUUUUAUCAUUAUUUAUUUAAUAUAUAUAUAAAUAAAGCUAACGUAGUGAACUGAAACAUCUAAGUAACUAUAGGAAUAGAAAUCAAAUAAGAGAUUCUCUUAGUAGUGGCGAGCGAAAAGGGAAAAGUCAGAAAAAUUAUAGUAUAUUAAAUAAUAGAAUAAUUUGGAAAAUUUAACUAUAAAAGGUGAUAGUCCUGUAUAUAAAAUUUUUUAUACUUUAUUAAUUUUUCAUAAAAUUAAAACGAAACACGUGAAAUUUUGUUUGAAUAAAGGGGGACCAUCCUCUAAGACUAAAUACUAAUAAUUGACCGAUAGUGAACUAGUACCGUGAGGGAAAAGUGAAAAGAACCCCGGGAGGGGAGUGAAAUAGAUCCUGAAAUCAUUUGCAUACAAACAGUAGGAGCUUAAAAUAAUAAGUGACUGCGUACCUUUUGUAUAAUGGGUCAGCGAGUUAUUUUUAAUGGCGAGCUUAACUUUUUAUAGGUAGGCGUAGAGAAAUCGAGUCUUAAAUGGGCUAAAAAGUCUUUAGAUAUAAACCCGAAACCAAGUGAUCUAUUUAUGAACAGGUUGAAAAUAUGAUAAUACAUAUUGGAGGACCGAACCCACUAAUGUUGAAAAAUUAGGGGAAGAUUUGUGAAUAGGGGUGAAAGGCCAAACAAACUUGGAGAUAGCUGGUUCUCUCCGAAAACUAUUUAGGUAGUGCCUUAAAUUUUAUAUUUUAUAGGGGUAGAGCUCUGUUAUGGAUAGGGGAUUGAAAAAUUUACCAAACCAUUGCAAACUACGAAUACUAUUAAAAUAAAUUUAAGAGACAGACUUUGGGUGCUAACGUCCAAUGUCAAAAGGGAAACAACCCAGAUUGCCAGCUAAGGUCCCUAAAAUUAACUAAGUGGAAAACGAUGUUAAAAAACAAAGACAGUCAGGAGGUAGGCUUAGAAGCAGUCAUCCUUUAAAGAAAGCGUAAUAGCUCACUGAUCAAGUUUUUUUGCGCGGAAAAUGUAACGGGGCUAAGUUAAUUACCGAAGCUGCAAAUAUUUUAUAUAAAUAAAAUAUGGUAGGAGAGCGUUCUGUAAGUCUGUGAAGAUUUUUUGUAAAAAAUAUUGGAGAUAUCAGAAGUGCGAAUGCUGACAUAAGUAACGAUAAUGAAAGUGAAAUUCUUUCACGCCGUAAACCUAAGGUUUCCUGUUCAACGGUCAUCGAAGCAGGGUUAGUCGAUACCUAAAAUGAGGCAGAAAUGCAUAAUUGAUGGAAAAUAGGUUAAUAUUCCUAUACCAUUAUUAUAAAAGUAGGAAUGAAGAACAAAUUAUGUAAAAUUGUCCAAGUGUUGGAAUACUUGGUUUUUAUAUUAUAGAUAAUUAUUAGAUAAAAUCGAUAAUUUAUUUCGAGAAUAUAAGACGAAUAAAGCAAUUUAAAAUAAUUUCUAGAAAAUCUUCUAAAUAAAAUAAAUUAUAAUAAUGUUCGUACUAUAAACCGACACAGGUGGGUGAGAUGAAUAUUCUAAGGCGCUUGAGAUAACUCAGGAGAAGGAACUCGGCAAAUUAAUACUGUAACUUAGGGAUAAAGUAUACCUUAUUAGUUUGAAUAAUUUACAUUAUAAGAAUGAAAAGGUUUAAAAAAAAAGAUAGCUGCGACUGUUUAAUAAAAACAUAGCACUCUGCUAACAUGUAAAUGGAUGUAUAGGGUGUGACGCCUGCCCGGUGCUGGAAGAUUAAAUAAUAAAGUUUUAAAAGCUUUUGACUUAAGUCCCAGUGAACGGCGGCCGUAACUAUAACGGUCCUAAGGUAGCGAAAUUCCUUGUCGGGUAAGUUCCGACCUGCACGAAUGGCGUAACGAUGGCUAUACUGUCUCCUCUUGAGGCUCAGUGAAAUUGAAGUGUUUGUGAUGAUGCAAACUACUCGCGGCUAGACGGAAAGACCCCAUGAACCUUUACUGUAAUUUUGUAUUGAAUUUUGAAAUAAUUUGUGUAGAAUAGGUGGGAGAUAAUGAAAUAAAAAUGCUAGUUUUUAUAGAAUCGACUUUGAAAUACCACCCUAAUUUUUUUAAAAUUCUUAUCUUGAUUCGUUAACCGAAUUGGAGAAGAUGCAUGAUGGACAGUUUGACUGGGGCGGUCUCCUCCUAAAAAGUAACGGAGGAGUUCAAAGGUAUGCUAAAUACGGUUGGAAAUCGUAUAUAUAGUGCAAUGGCUUAAGCAUGCUUAACUGCGAGACAUACAAGUCGAGCAGAUACGAAAGUAGGACAUAGUGAUCCGGUGGUACUAUAUGGAAGGGCCAUCGCACAACGAAUAAAAGGUACUCUGGGGAUAACAGGCUAAUUCCCCCCAAGAGUUCAUAUCGACGGGGGAGUUUGGCACCUCGAUGUCGGCUCAUCACAUCCUGGGGCUGAAGUAGGUCCCAAGGGUAUGGCUGUUCGCCAUUUAAAGUGGUACGUGAGCUGGGUUUAAAACGUCGUGAGACAGUUUGGUCCCUAUCUACCGUGAGCGUAGGAAGUUUGAAAAGGGGCUGCUUCUAGUACGAGAGGACCGAAGUGGAUGAACCUCUAGUGUAUCGGUUGUUACGCCAGUAGCAUAGCCGAGUAGCCAAGUUCAGAAGAGAUAACCGCUGAAAGCAUCUAAGUGGGAAACUUUCCUUAAGAUAAGACUUCCCGAAAAUAAAUUUUUCCUAAAGGGUCGUUUUAGACUAAAACGUUGAUAGGUCAGGUGUGUAAGUAUAGUAAUAUAUUUAGCUAACUGAUACUAAUUUACCCGUGAGGCUUGUUUUU